GACGAACGCUGGCGGCGUGCCUAACACAUGCAAGUCGAACGGAAAGGCCCCUUUUGGUGUCCUCGAGGUGCGAACGGGUGGGUAACACGCCAGUAACCUGCCCUUGACUCCCGGAUAACUUCACGAAACUGGGGCUAAUACCGCAUAGGAAUCCUUGCUGCAUGGUGGGUGUUCGAACGCUUCGGCGGUUUUGGGUGGAGUCGCGGCCCAGCCGCUUGUUGGUGGGGUAGUGGGUUACCAAGGCUGUGGCGGGAAGCCGGACUGAGAGGGCGACCGGGCACAGUGGGACUGGGACUGGGCCCAGACUCAGACGGGAGGGAGAGGUAGGGGAGAGUGAACAAUGAGCGGGGGCGUGAGGCUGAAACGCCGCGUGCGGGAUGACGGCCUUGGGGUUGGAAACCGCUUGCAGCAGGGGCGAGGCUUGUAGUGACGGUACCGGGAGAAGAAGCACCGGCUAACUACGUG
rnacentral:rRNA from 1 species